rnacentral:rRNA from 1 species
UACGGAGGGGGCGAGCGUUAUUCGGAAUUAUUGGGCGUAAAGGGCGCGUAGGCGGCUGAACAAGUCAAAGGUGAAAUCCCUCGGCUCAACUGAGGAACUGCCUUUGAAACUGUUCGGCUUGAGGCCGGGAGGGGGUAGCGGAAUUCCCAGUGUAGCGGUGAAAUGCGUAGAGAUCCGGAGGAACACCAGUGGCGAAAGCGGCCACCUGGACUGCACCUGACGCUGAAACGCGAAAGCUAGGGGAGCAAACGGG